rnacentral:tRNA from 1 species
GGGUUCUGGCUCAGUGGGAGAUCAUUUGUUUUGCAUGCAAAAAGUCCCAGGUUCAAUCCCUGGCAUCUCCA